rnacentral:rRNA from 1 species
GGUUAAGCGACUAAGCGUACACGGUGGAUGCCCUGGCAGUCAGAGGCGAUGAAGGACGUGCUAAUCUGCGAUAAGCGUCGGUAAGGUGAUAUGAACCGUUAUAACCGGCGAUUUCCGAAUGGGGAAACCCAGUGUGUUUCGACACACUAUCAUUAACUGAAUCCAUAGGUUAAUGAGGCGAACCGGGGGAACUGAAACAUCUAAGUACCCCGAGGAAAAGAAAUCAACCGAGAUUCCCCCAGUAGCGGCGAGCGAACGGGGAGGAGCCCAGAGCCUGAAUCAGUGUGUGUGUUAGUGGAAGCGUCUGGAAAGGCGCGCGAUACAGGGUGACAGCCCCGUACACAAAAAUGCACAUGCUGUGAGCUCGAUGAGUAGGGCGGGACACGUGGUAUCCUGUCUGAAUAUGGGGGGACCAUCCUCCAAGGCUAAAUACUCCUGACUGACCGAUAGUGAACCAGUACCGUGAGGGAAAGGCGAAAAGAACCCCGGCGAGGGGAGUGAAAAAGAACCUGAAACCGUGUACGUACAAGCAGUGGGAGCACGCUUAGGCGUGUGACUGCGUACCUUUUGUAUAAUGGGUCAGCGACUUAUAUUCUGUAGCAAGGUUAACCGAAUAGGGGAGCCGAAGGGAAACCGAGUCUUAACUGGGCGUUAAGUUGCAGGGUAUAGACCCGAAACCCGGUGAUCUAGCCAUGGGCAGGUUGAAGGUUGGGUAACACUAACUGGAGGACCGAACCGACUAAUGUUGAAAAAUUAGCGGAUGACUUGUGGCUGGGGGUGAAAGGCCAAUCAAACCGGGAGAUAGCUGGUUCUCCCCGAAAGCUAUUUAGGUAGCGCCUCGUGAAUUCAUCUCCGGGGGUAGAGCACUGUUUCGGCAAGGGGGUCAUCCCGACUUACCAACCCGAUGCAAACUGCGAAUACCGGAGAAUGUUAUCACGGGAGACACACGGCGGGUGCUAACGUCCGUCGUGAAGAGGGAAACAACCCAGACCGCCAGCUAAGGUCCCAAAGUCAUGGUUAAGUGGGAAACGAUGUGGGAAGGCCCAGACAGCCAGGAUGUUGGCUUAGAAGCAGCCAUCAUUUAAAGAAAGCGUAAUAGCUCACUGGUCGAGUCGGCCUGCGCGGAAGAUGUAACGGGGCUAAACCAUGCACCGAAGCUGCGGCAGCGACGCUUAUGCGUUGUUGGGUAGGGGAGCGUUCUGUAAGCCUGUGAAGGUGUGCUGUGAGGCAUGCUGGAGGUAUCAGAAGUGCGAAUGCUGACAUAAGUAACGAUAAAGCGGGUGAAAAGCCCGCUCGCCGGAAGACCAAGGGUUCCUGUCCAACGUUAAUCGGGGCAGGGUGAGUCGACCCCUAAGGCGAGGCCGAAAGGCGUAGUCGAUGGGAAACAGGUUAAUAUUCCUGUACUUGGUGUUACUGCGAAGGGGGGACGGAGAAGGCUAUGUUGGCCGGGCGACGGUUGUCCCGGUUUAAGCGUGUAGGCUGGUUUUCCAGGCAAAUCCGGAAAAUCAAGGCUGAGGCGUGAUGACGAGGCACUACGGUGCUGAAGCAACAAAUGCCCUGCUUCCAGGAAAAGCCUCUAAGCAUCAGGUAACAUCAAAUCGUACCCCAAACCGACACAGGUGGUCAGGUAGAGAAUACCAAGGCGCUUGAGAGAACUCGGGUGAAGGAACUAGGCAAAAUGGUGCCGUAACUUCGGGAGAAGGCACGCUGAUAUGUAGGUGAAGCGACUUGCUCGUGGAGCUGAAAUCAGUCGAAGAUACCAGCUGGCUGCAACUGUUUAUUAAAAACACAGCACUGUGCAAACACGAAAGUGGACGUAUACGGUGUGACGCCUGCCCGGUGCCGGAAGGUUAAUUGAUGGGGUCAGCGCAAGCGAAGCUCUUGAUCGAAGCCCCGGUAAACGGCGGCCGUAACUAUAACGGUCCUAAGGUAGCGAAAUUCCUUGUCGGGUAAGUUCCGACCUGCACGAAUGGCGUAAUGAUGGCCAGGCUGUCUCCACCCGAGACUCAGUGAAAUUGAACUCGCUGUGAAGAUGCAGUGUACCCGCGGCAAGACGGAAAGACCCCGUGAACCUUUACUAUAGCUUGACACUGAACAUUGAGCCUUGAUGUGUAGGAUAGGUGGGAGGCUU